rnacentral:rRNA from 1 species
UACAGAGGGUGCGAGCGUUGUUCGGAAUUAUUGGGCGUAAAGGGCGCGUAGGCGGCGCCACAAGUCACUUGUGAAAACUCGAGGCUCAACCUCGAGCUGUCGGUGGAAACUGUCUGGCUAGAGUCCGGAAGAGGAGAGUGGAAUUCCUGGUGUAGCGGUGAAAUGCGCAGAUAUCAGGAGGAACACCGGUGGCGAAGGCGGUUCUCUGGGCAUGAUCUGACGCUGAGGAGCGAAAGUGUGGGGAGCGAACAGG